GAUGAACGCUAGCGGCAGGCUUAAUACAUGCAAGUCGAGGGGGAUCAGCUGGGUAGCAAUACUCGGCUGUGAGACCGGCAAACGGGUGCGGAACACGUACGCAACCUUCCCAAAACUGGUGAAUAGCCCUCCGAAAGGAGGAUUAAUACACCGUAACAUAAUGAGAUGGCAUCAUUUUAUUAUUAUAGCUCCUGCGGUUUUGGAUGGGCGUGCGCCUGAUUAGGUAGUUGGCGGGGUAACGGCCCACCAAGCCUGCGAUCAGUAACUGGUGUGAGAGCACGACCAGUCACACGGGCACUGAGACACGGGCCCGACUCCUACGGGAGGCAGCAGUAAGGAAUAUUGGUCAAUGGACGAAAGUCUGAACCAGCCAUGCCGCGUGAAGGAUGACGGCCCUCUGGGUUGUAAACUUCUUUUAUCUGGGACGAAAAAAGAUCAUUCUUGAUCACUUGACGGUACCAGAGGAAUAAGCACCGGCUAACUCCGUGCCAGCAGCCGCCGUAACAC
rnacentral:rRNA from 1 species